CUGAUUUUGACAUAGUUUGAACUAGAUCUAAUCCAUAUCAUAAAAAUAAUAUAAAACUUGAUUAAAUCAAUCAAGGAUGGCUCUGAUACCACUAUUGGAUUUUGAUGAUGCAGCAAAAUAUAAAUUUCAAAAAUUUUUACAUACUUUCAAUAAUUAAAAAUAAGUUUAAUAUUUAAACUAGACUACCGAAAUACAAAACCCCUUGGAACACCUUGAUGAUUAUAAUCAAACCAUAAAUUUAUGUAUAACAAGAAG
rnacentral:lncRNA from 1 species